GAUUCACGUUGGUACAGUCCACCCUUGCUGAGCUUGUGGAACAGGGAAGAACGCGAGAGCAUUCCUUCCUGGACCCGAGCCAGCAGGUAAACAAACACACCUGGUCAGGAAGGGGAAAGGGCAGGGAACGUUUCGACUUCAAGGAGUCCAACAAUGAGAUCUCCAUCCUGGAGAGGUCUGGUGGUCCAAACCUUGACUUUGGGUCGCCUCUACGGGGUCACCGAGGGGGAUUUCAGUUCCCCUUGUCCAGCUGGAGGAACGAGAGUCAGUCAUUUGCAGUAGUUCACCAACUGAAAAAUGUUUAUGAAAUGGCCGUUUUGUCCCUCACAUACGUCCUGUAAGAUUAACUCUUUUAGGUCCAUGUGGAGAAAGCAGAGAAAACCAAAUUCCCAAACAGUUCAGCGCAAACAGCAGGCCACACAUGGCAGGUACGCCCAGAGACCCAGAAACCAAAAGGUACAAGUAUGCUGAAAUAAUACUACUGCACCCAUGGUUUUAGUGGCAAUUUGACUAAACACAACUUUAUGCGUAGCUUGUGAGCAUAGUAUACAUUUAAUUAACAAAAAACAAAUGUUGCACAGUGAAGCUGGGACUUUUAUGGUCCCUGGAAGUCUGGGCCCCCUUUGCACAGAUGGUAAUCCAGCCUUGGUUGCAAAAGUGUGGACAGCAUACUUGUUAAAAUAGGUUGAAUUCAGCAAAAGUGUGACAUCAUAUAGGUUAACAUUGGACACCUUUGCCAUUUCCUUCCAUAUAAAUAUCAACAUUGGCUGUUAUUAAACAAAUAUCUGUCCAGUUUUCAGAUAAAACAGAAUAUUAUUUAAGUGUAGUCAGACAAUACAGCCUCAUCACAGACACCACUGUAGUUCAAAGAAGUGAUUAAAUGUUUUUCUACUUCUUUCUACUGUGCCAUAUUGUUAACAUUAAAUACUUAAUGGCCAUUUGAUGAAUUUAAUACACAUAAAUAACCAUCAAUAAACAAAUAUGAGCUGUGGAGUUUGAUGUCCAACUUGCUCUCCCACUUUGGCAAAAGUUGAAAGAAAUUUGAGCUAGAGCACACUUUAUUUAACCUUGGUGCUUACAAUCUUACUGCUUACUUAAACAUGGAUUAACAGGCACAAUAAAAGGUUUAUGGGAUAUAUUGUAUAUGUACAGAAAGUGUAAGGUAACAUAAUAUUGUAUAACAAGACAAGAAUUUAGGCAUGUUUAAACAGUUUCUUCUUUUUCUCUUCUCCAGUCCUCUCAGGUUUUGAUGAUACCAAUUCUCCCACUCUAACCAUGAAGUAGUGAACUUGCAUCAAUCUGUUUUCCAUGCUGGAAUACAUAAUGAGCUCUUUUAUGCAGGAGCAGAGGGAAAAAUAAACAUGACACAUGUAAUCCCAGCUGAAACUGUACUGUACUGUACUGUACUCCAAACCCAGAGCAGAGCUGCUGAGAACCAGAACAUCACUCAUCAGGUCUGUGGUUAUGUAAGUCAGGUCAUAGUUUCCCCAAGUGACACACACAGACUCUCAUUUGUAUUGCCAUUGGUUGAGUGUUUCCUGAAUGUCUCGCCUAGCUGCAUUUAGAAUGGAAAAACACAACAAUAUGAAAUUAUAAUGAAUGGUUCUCAACAGUUAUUAUAGUGACGUUGGCAUUUAAUCCUACCCAAUAUUACUAUACCAUUACUAUUAUAAAACUAUCAGGAUUUUGCAGGAAAGCUGUCCAAAUGCAACAAAUAAUUGCAACAAGUCCUCCAACCCAUACGACCACAUAGGUCGUUUGUUCCUACCCUCUAAUACGACCCACAAUUAGCACCCCUACCGGUGGCAGAUGAGGACGGGCUCUAAGCAUGCGUUAAUUAAAUCCCGUGACGUUAAACACGUGGUUAACGUUAUGAAAGUGUCACGGUUUGGUUAGGUUUAGGCAAAAAAACUACUUGGUUAGGCUUAGGAAAAGACCAAGGUUUGGGUUAAAAUAAGUAAUGUAAGUCACGUAACUAACGUUAUGUAACUUUAAAUAAGUCAGUUGACUUUGGGUUUCACACAGGGCACGAACCCACCACCUCCAUGAGCGGAUGUUUUAGCUCUUUAUACUAUGUCACCUGACUUCCUGGUUUGCUCCUGUCAUAGUUACCACAACCACUAGAGGUUGCAUCCAACAAUAAACUUAAACAUGGGUCAUAAUAAGCUGCUUGGAAACAAUGUAAACAACGUUUUUCUGGUGAGGACAGUCUGAAUAAUAAUGGCUUUCCAAAUGUUCUAGCCAACAAACUAUCAUCUUUGGAAAAGAAUCCAGUUUUGCAGCGGUUGGAUCUGGAAUAAAACUCACUCAAUAUGUUAUCUGCAUCAUGGUUGGCAGUUUAAUAAAAUCUCUCCGUGGCCCUAAAUUAACCACCUUACAUAAUGAUCCUCCAGCCCUUGCCUUUUCUUAUGCUGCGGUGAGCCAGAUAUUUGUUCCACCUGAGCACACUGACACGCAUUUAAACAAUAUUACUGUGUCACUGUGAAUUCAGUACAAAUCAAGUACAGUACAAAUACCUUCACCCUUCACUGGAUUAAAAAUGGAUUGACUCAUGCUCCAACUUUUUGCAUACACUUCAGAAGAAUGUAUGAGGUCAAUGGUUAAAAAUGCAACUCUUUCCGUACAUUAUUUGAUCCAAUAAAAGUAAGUGCAGAAUGGUAUGUGCAGAGAGAAUUGCAGACAUGCACUGCAGCAACUGCUUCAACAGUUACAGUUAUCAGUGGUCAUCCCUUAUCUUGGCCCACCAGCUGUGCAGCCUGACUGGAUUAAAGGGCUUUCAGGUGACGUAACACACCCUCUUGCGGCCAUACUGGAGGUCCAACAUAAGCUGUGAAUGUCUGAUAGCUGUUGUGGACGAGACAUGACUCAUCUUCAACAGUAAGGCAUAGAUGGUUUUGCUGACAAUUUUGAAAACAAUCAUUUUACUAAGAUAUUAAAUCAUAUUUGCAUUGAUAUAUUGGCAGGUUGUUAGCUAGCUCCUCCCGCACAGCAACAAUAAUUUUAAUGUUAAUACAUCUUAUAUACACACUAUUUUAUGUAAAGGGUAACUUAACAUCCCUGAUUCUGGAGAAGUAUGCUCUGGUGUGUCACUACACCAUGGCAUCAUUGUUGGAUGAGGUUUCAGCUCAAACUAGACUGGUGUUGUUAGUCUUUAAAGAGUAACUUGACACCUCCUGAAAAUCUUGUUAUGAUAUGCUUAUUUGCAUACUUGCCAAGAGUUAGAUAAGAAGAUAGCUACCGCUCACAUGUCUGUACAGACAUAUAAGCUAACCGCAAGCAACCGGUUAGCUUAGUUUAGCACAAAGACAGGAAACGGGGGAAACAGCUAGCCUGGCUCUAUUCUAAGGUAAUCUGCCUACAAGCACCUCUAAAGCUCACCAAAUAUUUUUUUUUGUCUUUAGUUUAAUUUGUACAAAAAACAAAGUGUAAUGACAACUCGCAGUGUUACAGGGGGCAGUAAAAUGCUCCAGCCAAGAAAGAGUUUAAUAUGGACUCUUGGGAGACUAGCCUUGAGCUGAAAGAGAUCCAAAUAAACAAAUACGGGGGAUGUGUUUCAAGUCUCUCUCAGCUGAGUAAAUACAAAGUUGUAGUCACACUGUAACAAAAUUUGUGAAAUGUUAAGAGAUUUCUUUCCUGCGUAGCUCUCCCUCCCUCCUGUGUGUCUUCAGCUCCAUCAACAGUCAGUUUCAGCCACGUUUCUCAAACACACAAAGGGCCGUGCUAUCAUCGCUGGACAGCUGAGACUCGUUUCACAAGAUAUGUGAGGGUUUACUUCCAUCUGUCCUGAACUCUGUGUGACCUGAAACAACCUCAACCUUUAAAUCAGUCCGUGGCCAAGGCUACUGUGUGAGAAAUCACUCUGAUACAGCAGGAUGGAGCACCUGUACUCUACCAAACAAUAGGUCUAUCGGUGAGUUCAUGGCAGGUUGAAUAGUUGAUGAAAAGUUUUCUCCUUCUCUAUCAUAUCUACUAGUCCUGAAAAUAAAAUGCGUGUGUGUGUGAGUGUGUGGUCUGUGAGGAUUUCUGGUACACCUCGAGUCAGUCAGCACUGAAACAAACAGACAAAUACCGUUAAGUGUAAAUAUGUCAUUUAGUGGUACGGCGGACUUUGUUUUGUUCUGCUGCCAAUAAAAAGGGUAGCAAGAGGAAUAAAGUAUGGCUACAUACUGUAAUACCAUGCAAAAACAAAAUGUUGGACACAAUGAAUCACAUGACUCACAGAGAACACUCAGCCUGGAAAUGCUUUUGUUUGUUUUCUGAUAAAAUACCAGCUGCUGUGCUACAAAGACAAGCCGAUAGCUACAUGUCGAGCAGGAUGUGACGUUAAAGAGCGCUUAACUGGCACUGCAUGCAAUAUUAUAUUCAAACUAAACAUUCAAAAUUACAGAGGAUCAAGUUGCACCUGAGUCGCCAAACUUUAUAAUUUUGUAUUCUGAGUAGAUUUUGCUUUUUGAAAAAUAGUUUAUAUCUCACUUGGACUUCUGAUUGUGAAGGAUGCUGCUACCACCCACCCUUCCAUUAUAAUCAAGUUCACCCACUGUGCCAGUCAAAAAGCCUGUGUAGUGUAAUUCACUAUAGUACUAUUAAAAUGAUGAGAUUUGAGCUUAAUUAUAAUUGAACCUCUGGGACGAAGCCAUGGGAGGUUCAGGUAGCCGGUCAUGUAAUCAACCACAGGGCAGGGAAAAGUAUCCAUCAUAUGUUUAAUUUCAGCACAAAUCCAGCAGUGGGUGUAUUGAAUGAAUUCCAAGUUUGAACACUUUCAUCACCUCAUUUACUGCUCAGUCACUCUCAUGAGAUCCUCUUAGCUCCCAGCGCAGGAUUUUAGAAAUACUCAGUUCCACAGAAAUCCACCCCUUACGACACUUGUAGCCACAGAGAAGAAAACUUUUCAGAUAUUAAUGUUUUUCACAUUUAUCUAUUAAUUUACCGGUUUAAAGCAGCAGUAACUAAUUUGGGGGCAGCGGAAACAAGAUGUAAACACUCACACUCACAUUUUAAUUGGAUAUAGCGAACUGUGUACAGUGGGUUUUUGGAGAUUUUUCACCCAAAAAUAACAAUGAGAGUGGUGAGAGUGAACAAAAGGCAGUCAAGGUGGGGGCCAGAAAACCAAAACAUAUAGCUGAAAAAUACUAUAAUCAUCCUUCAAGCUAAGAGGAACUGCAGAGUCGGAUAAGAAUUAUUUGUAGGUUAAUUGCUUUGAGUGACACCUUUCAUGUUAUUAUUUCAUACCUUUUUAAUAUUUGUAAAAAUAUUUAUUAUAGCAGCUUUAAUAAAUAAGACAUCAGGAAUGGUGGACCCUGCCACUAACAAUGAAAACUGCUAUAUUGAGAGGUAAUUAUUGAAUGUGAUUACACUGAAUGGCUAUUGCAAAAAAAAAGUGGGGGAAAAAACAUAGUAUGGGGUUUGAAAUUAUGAAAAUCUAAAGGAUUAUAACUUUUGUAUUGUGUAAAUUUUAUGUUUUAAAGCCUACACCUGAAGAAGCCUGAAAAAAGAUCAUUUGUGUGCAAUUAGACAUAACCCCCAAAUUCUCACCGCCAAGUCCGCAAUAGUUCCCUACAGCUAUGUAUCUCUGGCACAAUAGUUAUACAUGGCCGUAGGGAACUAUUGUGGACUUGGCGAGAUCUCUCUUUCAGGAUGCAGCUGUUGCAAAGAUGUUUCUUUCUCCAUCCUGAGAUGGAUGGCUUCCAAGCUUUCAUUUAAGGAAUGAUUCAAAGAUCUGCACAGUUAUUUCCAAAUAUGUACAUGUAUUACCUGAAGAAAUCCACUCUGUUAAAGUGUUGUCUCUUGUUUAAAUUUAGCGCCAUAAUCAUGUCAAGGUAUGUAUUAACUCGCACUUGAAAAACUCUUCUUUCAGUCUUCUUCACACAAUCACUGCUAGUUCAAAGUCGGUGAACUCUGUGUUCCUGUUCCACACCACAAUCAGCAGCACCCUCGGCCUGAGGGUGACGAUCACCUUCAUCAUCAUCAUCAUCAGCUCUUGUUCAUCCUCUUGUCAAGCGCUACAGAUGCGCUGUGCUCUUUUCAGGGGAACGAUUACAGACACAAAGAUGAAAGACUUCAGAGCAGUUCUAUUACUUUUAAAUCUUUCAUAUUCCAUUUGGAGCAACAAGAAGAACAAUCGGCGACAUCAAGGCCUUUGAUCCUCUGGAUUUUCAGCUUUUAGUGGUCCAACCAAAUGUCUAUAUCAUUCCUUGUUAAGUACCAAGAUUCAGCUGGCUGGAAGCUUUCGUCUCCUCCAUGCUGGCUGUUGUUGGGAUGCUGAACCAGACCUAUGGGGCCUGGAGUUUUAAACUUUCAUCUCCUCCACGUUCAUCUCCUCCAUGUCAGCUCCUCUUCAGCAUUUUUGUUGCUUUUGUCCUCCUUCUGCCCUUAUUUUGCAAAAAGCUCUUUGUGAAUAAACUAGCUUUGAUCUGCCUGCUUGCUCACCGUAUCUUCCUCUUCUCUCGAGUCUUCAAGACAGACUGGAUAAUGUGCUGCAGCUCCAGUGGGUCAUUGGUGGCCCUCAUCGGCUAAACUAGGCUCUUUUUAAUCACUGCAGUUGACCUUGUGACCCCAUCUGCCCCUCUGAACACACACACACAUGCUCACAUACAAUCAGAUACACACACACACACACGUCCUUCCUUCUUUUACCCUCCACACAGCCGACCUCCUGCUGGCAGCAGUCUAACAGAGUUAAUGCUGAUGGAAGGAGAAGAAAAUAAGAGUGGAAAAGUGAAAAAAAAUGAUCCACAGCCAGCUGGCUUUCUUUUUGUUUACCAAAUCAUGAGUUAACUCUUGAUAAAUGCAUAUAACAGCUAACACAUGGCCAAGCCAUACAAUGUGUUCCACAGAAAGAACAGAAAUAGAUUUGAGGAGAAUUUUUCUGUCAACAUUUCCUUUGAGCAUGUAAAUUGUUUUACAUUUCCAUACUUUAUCUUAUCACAUUUCUUGUGAUUUCUUGCUACAUUUGCAAGAUGUUGCUAAAAAUCUGUUUUUGAAGGCAAUACAAAUACUUUGAACAUGGCUGAAAGACACUUUAUUAAAAGUUCGUAAAGAAUAUUAAUACUAAUAUAUUUGGAAUGACUUCUAAAAGAUCCACACAUUUAAACAGUGUCACUAACAUUUUUAAUUAUUUUAUUCAUCUGUAGUCCUUUAUGUGCACUGGAUUCUGUUUAUGAAGUUUCAUAGUUUAUCGUCUCAUAUCCACCCAGUACCCUUUAGUUGCACAUCACUGUCACUCGACAAUCCUCUAAUACAGACACUUUACAACACAACAGGCACUGAGCUGACACACUUAUCCAGAGUGAUUAACAGCAUCCACAUUUACAGACCCACAUUUAAGCGAGGCCACACUCGUGCUCACACCAUACUCUGAUUAUGUUGGUAAGAUUAUGCUCUUAGGCAGAGUGAAUGUAAUUGCAGUAACAUAUUGUUGUUGCUGUUGGGCGUAAACCUUGGAACUCCGAUUUUGGUGAUUUGCACGUUUUAGCUUAAACAGAAUUCCAUGUUUAUCUGUAGAGUAAGAGAAUCCAAAAAAUCUUUGGUGUUCAAAACUCCAUAGAAAAAGCAAAUACUUAAAAAAAGAUUUAGAAGAAGAUUUUUAUGUUUUAAUGGACCAAUAUGAAGUUGUAUUGUAUAUUCUGAUCUAAUGUGUAUUAUUAAGAAAGUGCCACUUUACAUAAUCAUGUACUCACCUUGUAAUUGAACUGGAAAUAGACAUAGCCAAUGAGAAGGAAGAUAAUCAGUGUGUUUCUCAAGGACACUUUGACUUGGCACAUACUGAUGGACACCUUGUUCUGUUCUCUGAUUGAUCUUGAGACCUGAUAGUAAUAAGAUGGGGACACUGUGUACACCACCAACAAUGGCUACAGACUUCUUUCACUGUAUUAUUACCCUAGAAUGUUAAACACACCAUCUGGUCUCCAGGACUUUCCCCUAAACUUUAUCUGAUGCAAAAUAAAAAAAGAUGCAGUUGUUGUGCAUCUUAAAGCACAAGUUAUUUUUUUAUUGCAAAUGGCAAAUAGUAAGGGGUGCUACAAAUGCUUUAACUGCAUCCUUAUGCACACCUACGUUCAAAUAUUUUAUACAGUAUGUGUAAUGUUUUAGUUCACAUCCUUGUACACAUUUGAUCUUACUUUUAGAGUAAAUGAUGCCUUACAAGUGCCUCACUUAAUUUGAUUCAUGAUUACAAAAUAUAAAUAAGUGACUUGAACCAGUCAUUGGUUUGCACAUUGGGAUCCAACUUGGAACCUAAAGAAACUAUUCCCUUUCCUCUCUGCUCUCAUAAAUGAGUUACAUAUGUGACCCUCUUACAACUUGCUGUAAAAACUACAUGUUGAUUUGUGUUUAUUUCACUAUGUACUGUAUAUAGGCCUGUAUCUGCGAUUAUAUUGUAUGCUGACAACAUCUGAUUAUCCAUGUCUGAUCUUUUUUCAACUUUCUGGACUUGUCGACACUACUGGAAACCACCUCUCAGUCUGGGCCAUGGGUAUAUGGGUCUGGGUGGUAUAGCUUAUGUAUUUUUUUGUAAACUAAAUGAAAAGUCCCAGUUUUAGAUAGCUCUUGGCCAAGUAAAAUUAACUUGAGCAAGACUGAAGUACAGUAAGUAUCGUAUGUGUUCUUUGAGACUGGAAACAGCAGACUUUGUAGGAAAUGUGGUUCUAAUUUUGAGAAACACACUGGCAAUCAAUCCACUCACCCAUCAUCUCAUUUAUUUACAUAUUCCAAGGUGGUGCAAUUCAUUUGACAAUAACACUGUGAUUAUUGCACCUUUACCAAUCACAUGAUUGUUCAUUAUUCUGAUUUAUUUGCAUUUGAGGUGAAAAUGUGAACAUGCUUAGCUCUUUGUAUACCAAAAACAGAUCUGCGCAGCUGUGAGUGAUAAUUAAGUUCACAGUUAAUGUCACUGUCUCAUUAUCUCCUCUUUUAUCUGAGAAUACUGAAGAUAAUGCUCUUACUAAUUUGACCUCAACUGAUGGAACAAAUCACUGAUGUUAUAAUUUUUCUGUUUUACUUUCUUUUUAAAAAUCUUUUUACUCCUUUCUCUGUACAUUGUAAAAUUUAUUUGGCAACAUGUUAAGCUUUUACACUGACAAGUUUUCUUCCGCAUUACUCUCAUGUUACUACCCCCUCGCCUCAGCCUCAUGGUCUGUUUAAACCUGCCUAUCACUGCUAAGACUCACACACACACACACACACACACACACACUAUACACAAACUCACAAACAAGACUUGAAUGCAUCGCUAUCAAGUCUUGAUGAAGGACAAGUGGAUUUGUUUGAUGCUAAAAAUCAAAAGAACAUCAGAAAUAGCUCCACUGUAGCAAGCUGCGCAUACAUCCUUUUUAGCACCAUCUGAACGAGUAAAGAGGCCUUUGUGAGAGGAAGCAGAGGGGGAAGGGAAGAGGAAGAUGAUGAAGAAGAGAGGGGGAAACAAGUAAAAAUUACUGCAUCUCCUCAGGGAUUAUAGUAGUCUACUGUUACUGUCAAUGUCUUUAUAGCAGCAGGAAUGUAUGCAUGUGCAUGUGACUGGGUGUGUGCAAGUCUGUGUGUCUGUGAUUUGAGACAGCUGCAGAAAAGAAGGGGGUUGCAGUUUAUUUUCCUGUGGAAAAAGGGGGUGUGUCCCUGCACGCGAUUGGCCCAGUGGGCCGACUCCAGUGUAAAUGACAUCACAACUUCGUACCUGACCUACUUAAAGUGGCUGUGACGUCACCGCUGUCUCUUUUACUGUCUCUCUUCUUCUCUGUCCCCUUCCUCCCUCUCUUAUACAACUAAUUUUUCUCCAUCUCCUUUCUUCUUAGUUCUUGCUCUCCCCUCUUUCUAAUCCCUAUUUUUUCGCAUUCAUCUUCUCCUUUUUUCCCCCAUUAUACAGAGGCAAAGACACAUGAAUAAAGUUAAAUAGGAGAGAGAGAGAUAGAGAGAGGAAAGAGAGCAAAGAGGCAGAAUUAUCUACGGUUGCCAAUAACCCAAUUUAUGCAGAUUAAAGCUAUAUCGAUGAAUAUUAAUGUGUUGGAAAGCAGCACUGGCCCCAACGACAUGACAAAACGGGAAGGCAAGCUUCCACCAUAUGGACAGAAAGGCGCUUAGGGUAAACACUCUGUUUUUUUAGACAAAAAGUUUUUUAGAUAUGUUUUAGCUGUGAAAUAGGAAUUUAAUACAUGCAAGCUUCAAUUUGCAACGUGAGAUCAUUUCCUUUCGCGUUAAUUUGGACAUGUUUUACUACUCCAAACAAAUACCAUACUUGCGACAUGUGUAUGUGCAUCUGUAAGACUCACAAAUUUAUCUGCAAUUUGUGAGCAAUAAAAUUUGUGAGCAAUAAAAUUUGUGAGCAAUAAAAUUUGUGAGCAAUAAAAUUGAAAAAUUUGAAACAUUUUUUUCUGUGGAAGUAGUGCAAAUUGCUUUUGUGAAACAAGCUCCACAUCUUUUAAAUGCUGUUGAAAUAAAGGUUAUAUUUAGUAACGUUAUUUAAUCAGGUAAUCAAGAUCUCCUGGGAGACCUAUGAACUAAAAACAAUUACAGUCAGGCAACGAUGCAACCAGCAUACAGACAAAAAAAAAAAAUAAAUCAACCAAACAGAACUAAUUAAAACAAAUAGAAGUAAUAAAAACAUCAACUAAUGGAGGUUUAAUGUCUGUAAGGUAAUAAAAGAAUCUAUCUUGAGAGCUGUUUGCAAUUUCUUCCAAUUAAAAGGGGCAUAGUACUUGAAUCAAGUCCUCUUAGGUUAGAGGUAGUGUGCUGUGUAUAUGGGAUAUCUAUUUUAAGUAAUUGAUGAAUCAGAUAGUUACAAGAUUGAAAUAAGAGAAGAAAUGUGAAGACGUUGGAACGCUUUAACAAUGUAGCGUUAUAGAUGAUAAUGUAACCUUUACGGGUCUGUUUAACUUUUCCUUUAAUUUAAACUUUGAAUACAGGAUUUGCACUUCUCAUUGUCAUUAUCAUUGACGUGAUAGUGAGCAGCUGUAACGAAAGAGUUUCCCCUCAGGGAUCAAUAAAGUAUUUCUUAUUCUGAUUCUGAUUUAGUAUUUUUACAUCAUAUUGCUACUAGUACCGCUGAUGUUUUUCCUACACAGUGCUCUCAGCCACCAGCCGCAGCAUCAGUGUGGUUUACAUGUAUAAAUGUAUUACGAUGGAAAACAGAUGUAUUGGCAGAUUUUUGUGUUCCUGAACUUGUGUUGUGUUCAGAUUAUCUGUGAGGAGCAGGGACGCUGAGGUCGGGUUACAGCCGCAGGGUCGGAUCUAAUCUCAGGCUACAGUCAGAUCUGACAACAAUCGCUCCGGAGCGAGAGGGACCGAAGGAGGGAAGGGAGAGUGAUAGUGUUUGAUGGUUAAAGAAAGAGUGGAGAGAAGGAAGUAGGUAGAGGCACGAAGAUCAAAAGAGAUAUGGAAAAAGCAAGCAAGUGUGGUGAAACUGGAAGGAUGGAGGGAUGUAAGGCAAGAGCAUAACAAACUGAGAAACAUACGGAGAAUAGUAAAUAGAGAAGAGGUGUUCAAAGGUUGUACAGAUUUAAAGAAGAUAAAGGAAGACAGAGAGAGGGACAUAAUAAAUAGAAAAGAGCGGGAGGGAGAUAAUCCAACUUUUCCUCCCUGUGGAGAACAUGGCCAAAGGGAGAAAAAGAGCAGGAGGCAAAACAGCCUAAAGCAACAAUUCCUCUUCUCAUACCUCCUCCUCUUCUUCCCCUUUGUGUUCAGUGGAAACCCUCUUUCUCUCUCAUUUAUAUUCACACCAGCUAUGGGGCUAGUCACGGGGCAACCACUGCACAAUACUGUUCAAAACACACACACACACACACACACACACACACACACACACACACACACACACACACACACACACAGGCUCUUUUUUGUAAGGCUAAAUUAAGUGCAACCAAGUGCAGCCACAACAGGCUGAACCAAAAAAGAAGAACCUUCUUUCCUCACAAACAUGCUGGUGUUAAAUGGUUUGACAGGAGGUGAUCUUUUCUUUUUUGCAUUCCACAGCUCUCACAUGCAGUAUGCACUGCAAAAAGAAGAGGAAAGAAGAAAAAGUAAUAUAUCUAAAUAAACAGCAAGGGAUUUUCAGGCAGGCAAAAUUGGCCCAACGGCUGCCAAAAUCUGGCACUAUUGCUGGAAUGAUCAGUCAAUUAUUUGAUUUUCUAUACAAACUUAAAUCAACAUAUAUUUUUAUAUCAACUGAUUAAAUGUUACACCGUUAUCAAGCAAAAAUGCCACAAACUGGUAUGAACCAGAACACCAGUUCUCAAAUGUGGGGAUUUGCUGCUUUUCUUUAUAUUUGCUGCAUUAAUGUAAAUUAAAUAUCUUUGGGUUUUAGACUGUUUGGUGAGACAAAAUCAGUUUGAUCUCAUCAUGGGUUUGGGAACUUGUCAUGGGCUUUCUAAACUAUGUUUGUGCAUCUGAAUAGAGAAAAGAAGAAAUACAUUAAUUGAAAAUAUACUGAGAUUAAUCAUUAAGAAAAAUAAUCACUAUAUUGUAGUUACAGCCCGUUGCUGUGUCUUAAUUGACCCAAAUAAACUUGUACCACUUCCAUGAACCAACAUUGUCCCAAAGUGCUACUACUUUAGUUAAAAGGCCUUGGUGCCAGUAGGUUGUAUUCUGUGGUGAUGCGGUUGACAGAAAAAAAUUAUUAUAGAUGCCACAUUUGAAUAAAAAUAUGAAGUUAAACAGUGUUUUUUUAAGCAUGACUGCGAUUGUUCCCUACACUUAACCAUGUGUUUAUUAUUGUAACCACGACAACAAAGGUCCCCUAACCUAGUCAUUUCAACUCAAACCACAAUGUUUCCCCAAACCUAACCAAGUCGUUUUUUUGUUGUAGUAGUGAAGAAACUCUGCUUGUUUUUUUUAAAAAAAAAAUAGACACCAUUCACAACUAGUCUUGAUUUUAAAUCAAAGGAGGAGAUGUAAUAUGUUUUAGUAAGUAUCUGAAGGGCUGUAGUGGUGGAAAGCAAGUCACUGCAUCUGUGUUAACAUUGUUAUUAGUAACUACAUGCUAACUGCAUCAGUAUCAAUAUUAAUCAAUAUUCAGUGUAAACGUGAGAAAGAAAGAGAGGGAGAAGCAGGUCACUAUGUGGGUGUGUUUUUCUUUGUUUGAAAUACCCCAAAUACAAGCAGCUCCAAACCAAAUCAAAGUUGUUAUUAGGACUGAUAGUUUUACAGUGCAGCCCCUCCAUGACUCUGUGUCAGCAGUCAGUGCAUCAGUAAUUAGUAGAGUUAAUGGACAGAGAAUUAGGUGUAAAUUGAUGUUAAAACGGGUAUAAAUGUCCUCCUUGCUACUGUUGCUGCUUAUACACACGUGCAUAGGCUAAAUUACUUUGGACUUGUUUGACGCUCCUUCCUUUUCCACCCCUCUCUCUCUCCACACACACACACACACACACACACACACACACACACACACACACACUCACCCAGCAGUGACAUUGCUAAAUCACCCUGGUGGCUUACAGCACCAUCCCUCGAUCUCUCAUCAUCACCUUCCUCCUCUUCCUUAUCUCAAACCUCUCUGCAGCCCUAUAAUACUCUUCCCUUUCAUCUCCCUCCUCCUAGUCUCUUUCACCCCCUUCCCAUCCCUCGCUUUCUUCUUCCUCUCUCUCUGUCUCAGCCGUGACCUCUCUUUGGCUCAGAUUAUUCUGGUCUUUUUAUCUUCCCUCCUUUCACCUCAAUCUUCACCCACCUGUAGGGCUGCAUCACCUGGUACAUCAUUCACUUCUGUUCAUUUUUAUUUUCACAUCUGAUGUUUGGAUGGUUAAAGGCUGACAAUUUACAGUAUAAAACUAUGAUUACACUAUAGGGCUUCUACACAGAGCACAAGCUUUUAAAGGCUGAUUAUGUUAAGCGGACAAAGAUAAUGUCCACCACAAAAGGAUUAUGUAACAGUAAGAAGUAUUACAAUGACAAAGUAGCAUUAUGUUACAAAAUCAGUGUAAGACAUUCACCUGUAGUUGAAAAAUGAAUGUUUUGUAGCCAUCUAGCCAUUGUUUCAACAUUUCUUUGUUGACUUUAUUUGAACAGGUAGUUAGGGCCUGUUUCACCUUUAAAUAUAAUCUUUUAUAUGUUGCUGUAUACUUAAAUUGUUAUAUAUAACCGGAUACUGGAUUAGUUAAUGAUUAAAGGAAUAGUUUAGCAUUUUGGCAAAUAUGCUUUUCACUUUUACGCUGGGACUUAAAUGAAAACAUUAAUACCAUUCUCAUGUCUGUAUGGUUAAUAUAUACAGCUAGCAGCCUGUUAGCUUAGUUUAGCACAAAGACUUUAAACUGGGGGAAACAGCUAGCCUGGCUCUGUCCAAAGGUAACGAAAUCUGCCUACCAUCCUGUCUUUGUGCUUUGUCCUGUUUAAGUUUUACAGUAUUUCUUUAAAAUUAGGCAAGUUAUAAAACGUUGGUUAAGGUUAGGGCAAGCCUGUGGCCAUGGCUAAUUUGGACAAACAAAAUGUCUUUUCAAAUUGGGUGCUGAAACCGAGAUGUUGGAGUUACAUUAACAUUAACAUUUUUGUGCACCAAAACCACAACACAGUCACAUUCCAUUGUUCUCAAUGU